GACAGAGGAUGCAAGCGUUAUCCGGAAUUAUUGGGCGUAAAGCGUCCGCAGGUGGUUUGGCAAGUCUGGUGUUAAAGCACCAUGCUUAACUCGGGAUCGGCACUGGAAACUGCCAGACUAGAGUACGGUAGGGGUUGCGGGAAUUCCUGGUGUAGCGGUGAAAUGCGUAGAGAUCGGGAAGAACACCAGUGGCGAAAGCGCGCAGCUGGGCCAUUACUGACACUGAGGGACGAAAGCUAGGGGAGCGAAUGGG
rnacentral:rRNA from 1 species